rnacentral:rRNA from 1 species
GACGAACGCUGGCGGCGUGCUUAACACAUGCAAGUCGAGCGGUAAGGCCCUUUCGGGGGUACACGAGCGGCGAACGGGUGAGUAACACGUGGGUGACCUGCCCUCAGCUCUGGGAUAAGCCUGGGAAACCGGGUCUAAUACCGGAUAUGACUCCAUGACGCAUGUUGUGGGGUGGAAAGCCUUGUGCGGCUGAGGAUGGGCCCGCGGCCUAUCAGCUUGUUGGUGGGGUGAUGGCCUACCAAGGCGACGACGGGUAGCCGGCCUGAGAGGGCGACCGGCCACACUGGGACUGAGACGCGGCCCAGACUCCUACGGGAGGCAGCAGUGGGGAAUCUUGCGCAAUGGGCGAAAGCCUGACGCAGCGACGCCGCGUGAGGGAUGACGGCCU